rnacentral:lncRNA from 1 species
GGCUCUCUCUCUCUCAUCUCACCCUCUCUUCCCCUGCAACUAGAAUCCUCUCUCUUCUCUCUCAUCUCUCCCUCUCUUUCUCUCUUUUCACAUCAGAAAUACUAGAGGUUGGCCUCCAGAUCUAAUGUCAACCAUAUGAAAUUUGGAAGUUGGCAAGGUAGUCGCCUUCAUUAUUGUCUGUGUAGAGAGAGAGAGAGAGAGAGAGAGAGAGAGAGUCAUGAGAAGAGAGAGACAAUGUCUAUGAUGAUGAAGGAAGUUAAGAGGAUGCAAGGAGGAUGGAGGGUGGCGAUGUCGACAUUGAUGCCGAGGCAAGUUGCUGUGGUGGGGGGAGAAGAUCAGGAGAGAAAUCACUGAGUUGGAUCGUCAACGCCUAACCUUUUUUUUUUUUAAGUGUGGUUGCCGGCCGUUAGGAACUUAUGGACUAGUUAUACUUAAUUGGAAUGCUUACCUUAGCAUCCCCAUGCAGAAGUUUUUCUCUCUAAAAUAGGGAGACCUCUAAGAGGUCCUAAAUUUAAGAACCGAGAAAGGACUCCUAAAGGCUCUCUGUAAUUUAAUAGUAUUUUAACCGUUUAUUUAAU